GGCGUAGGGCGCGAGCGUUGUCCGGAUUUAUUGGGCGUAAAGAGCUCGUAGGCGGCUUGUCGCGUCGACCGUGAAAACUCGCAGCUCAACUGCGAGCCUGCGGUCGAUACGGGCAGGCUAGAGUUCGGUAGGGGAGACUGGAAUUCCUGGUGUAGCGGUGAAAUGCGCAGAUAUCAGGAGGAACGCCGAUGGCGAAGGCAGGUCUCUGGGCCGAUACUGACGCUGAGGAGCGAAAGCGUGGGGAGCGAACAGG
rnacentral:rRNA from 1 species